GACGAACGCUGGCGGCGUGCUUAACACAUGCAAGUCGAACGGUGAAGGGGAGCUUGCUCCCCCGAUCAGUGGCGAACGGGUGAGUAACACGUGAGCAACCUGCCCCUGACUCUGGGAUAACAGCUGGAAACAGCUGCUAAUACCGGAUACGACCUCCACAGGCAUCUGUGUUGGUGGAAAGCUCCGACGGUCAGGGAUGGGCUCGCGGCCUAUCAGCUUGUUGGUGGGGUAACGGCCCACCAAGGCGACGACGGGUAGCCGGCCUGAGAGGGCGACCGGCCACACUGGGACUGAGAUACGGCCCAGACUCCUACGGGAGGCAGCAGUGGGGAAUAUUGCACAAUGGGCGAAAGCCUAAUGCAGCAACGCCGCGUGCGGGAUGACGGCCUUCGGGUUGUAAACCGCUUUCAGCAGGGACGAAGUGAAAAUGACGGUACCUGCAGAAGAAGCACCGGCUAACUACGUGCCAGCCGCCGCCGUAACAC
rnacentral:rRNA from 1 species